rnacentral:rRNA from 1 species
GACGAACCGUGCGAACGUUAUUCGGAAUCACUGGGCUUAAAGGGCGCGUAGGCGGACUUGCAAGUCUGCGGUGAAAGCCUCCAGCUUAACUGGAGAAGUGCCGUGGAUACUGCGGGUCGUCGAGGAGGGUAGGGGCGAGUCUGGAACGUUGGGUGGAGCGGUGAAAUGCGUUGAUAUCCAACGGAACUCCGGUGGCGAAGGCGAGGUGCUGGACCCUUUCUGACGCUGAGGCGCGAAAGCCAGGGGAGCGAACGGG